UGCUGGUGCGUCUCAUUCCAUGGAGCAAAAGCCAGAAGUUGUAAUUGUCGCACCCACUCGUGAAUUGGCCAUUCAAAUUCACCGGGGGGCGUGUUAAUUCUCCUACAAUUCGGUUUUAAAAUCUGUGAUUGUAUAUGGAGGAAUUGUCACGAGCUAUCAGCGGUCAAAUCUUCAAGCUGGGUGUAAUAUUGUUGUCGCGACAGCGGUGCGAUUCAACGAUUUCCUCGACCGUGGAGUAUUUGUCUUGCCGGGGGUCAGGUUUUAAAUUUUGGACGAAACUGAUCUAAAUCAUUUGGGGAUUAAGCAAUCCUGGUUUUGAACAGCACCAGAAGAAGACGAUCAGGAAACUUAAGUAAUACCAAAAGCGCUGCUAGGAAGGGCUAAACGAUAUAUUGCAUAGAUCAAAUGAAAGAUGGUUGCUCACGUACGCAGUGACACGAAACGGCUCGGCUUAUCUUGAGCUAUGACAAAGAUAUGAUUGUAAGGUUGGAAUACUCCGACGUGCGGUACUGGCAUGAAGUGCAUCAGGAACAGUAACGUAUGCUAAACAACCUAAGCUACGCGCUCUAAGUUCCCGACAUGGCAUUCCUUACUAAAUCGCCAAUAUGUUCCGGUAUCUGACAGUUUUAGACCGCCAGAUUGCUCUAGUAAAUAGGCAUCUACUAAAUAUAUUGGCGUUAUCAAAUACCGGGGCGUAAUGGUGGUUUCGUAUUGAACAGCGGCUAUAGAACUUGCCAUGCCGAGAUCAAGUUCUGUACAAAUCGUAACCAUUUUAAUCGUUAAACAGUGACAUCUAGCGGAGGGAAGUGAGGUAAGAGGAACGCCAUCUAGUGGUCAAUACCGCAGAAUGUAAUGAAUUGAGUCACAUGACAUUUUGACAGUAAACAAAAUAAGGAUUUUUAAAUCACGGGUUUUGCUGAGUGAACUUGCAGUUCUGUAAAGUUAUUCGAGAUAACUGCAAAUGGUAGUCCCAAAACCGGAAGAAUUUUGUCUGUCAUCUUUACUACGUGAACUUUAAAAGGCCUUGUUAUACCAAAGGGCGCCAAAUGGAGAAAUUGGGCUUCAUCAACGAUUCAAAUUCAUUGAUUUUAACAGCCUGGUUGCAAACUUUUAGCCAUAGCAUUGCAAUCAAUGUAUUUAUAAUCCAGUCUUCAACACUAACAAAUGCCAAUGUACACAGUUGUUUCUACGCUGAAACGUUUAAUCUGAC